rnacentral:rRNA from 1 species
CACGAACGCUGGCGGCGUGCUUAACACAUGCAAGUCGUACGGUAAGGCCCUUUCGGGGGUACACGAGUGGCGAACGGGUGAGUAACACGUGAGUAACCUGCCCACAACUUUGGGAUAACGCUAGGAAACUGGUGCUAAUACUGGAUAUGUGCUCCUGCUGCAUGGUGGGGGUUGGAAAGCUCCGGCGGUUGUGGAUGGACUCGCGGCCUAUCAGCUUGUUGGUGGGGUAGUGGCCUACCAAGGCGGCGACGGGUAGCCGGCCUGAAAGGGUGACCGGCCACAUUGGGACUGAGAUACGGCCCAGACUCCUACGGGAGGCAGCAGUGGGGAAUAUUGCACAAUGGGCGCAAGCCUGAUGCAGCAACGCCGCGUGCGGGAUGACGGCCUUCGGGUUGUAAACCGCUUUCAGCAGGGACGAUGCUUUUUGUGGCGGUACCUGCAGAAGAAGCACCGGCUAACUACGUG